rnacentral:rRNA from 1 species
AGAGUUCGAUUAUGGCUCAGGAUGAACGCUGGCGGCGUGCUUAACACAUGCAAGUCGAACGAAGCAUCUUAGACAGAAGCCUUCGGGCGGAAGACUAUGGUGACUUAGUGGCGGACGGGUGAGUAACGCGUGGGUAACCUGCCCUGUACUGGGGGACAACAGUUGGAAACGACUGCUAAUACCGCAUAAGCGCACAGCAUCGCAUGAUGCAGUGUGAAAAACUCCGGUGGUACAGGAUGGACCCGCGUCUGAUUAGCUAGUUGGUGAGGUAACGGCUUACCAAGGCAACGAUCAGUAGCCGACUUGAGAGAGUGAUCGGCCACAUUGGGACUGAGACACGGCCCAA